GGGGAUUUUGCUCAGUGGUGUAGGCACUUGCCUGGCAAGCAAGUCAUGAGUUCGAUCCCCA
rnacentral:tRNA from 1 species